rnacentral:rRNA from 1 species
AUGCACGCUGGCGGCGUGCCUAAUACCUGCCAGUCGAGCGAACAGACGAGGAGCUUGCUCCUCUGACGUUAGCGGCGGACGGGUGAGUAACACGUGGAUAACCUACCUAUAAGCCUGGGAUAACUUCGGGAAACCGGAGCUAAUACCGGAUAAUAUAUUGAACCGCAUGGUUCAAUAGUGAAAGACGGUUUUGCUGUCACUUAUAGAUGGAUCCGCGCCGCAUUAGCUAGUUGGUAAGGUAACGGCUUACCAAGGCAACGAUGCGUAGCCGACCUGAGAGGGUGAUCGGCCACACUGGAACUGAGACACGGUCCAGACUCCUACGGGAGGCAGCAGUAGGGAAUCUUCCGCAAUGGGCGAAAGCCUGACGGAGCAACGCCGCGUGAGUGAUGAAGGUCUUCGGAUCGUAAAACUCUGUUAUUAGGGAAGAACAAAUGUGUAAGUAACUAUGCACGUCUUGACGGUACCUAAUCAGAAAGCCACGGCUAACUACGUG